ACUCCUCCUUUCGACUAGGGAGGAAAUGUGUGUUACGCCUAAUGAAACUGCUCAAAGUUCAGUCUUUUUUUUUAUCAGUGCUGAUAUACAAUGAUAAAGUUGAUAUGUUCUGUUGGAUAUGGUGGUGCCAUUACCAAUGACCUGGAAUUUCCAUGACUUAAAGCAAGACUAGAACAACACGUUUAGCUCUCUUCAAGCCCUCAUUUCCUGCAGCUGGGUGUCUAAACACCUUGUCUGAUCUUUAGGUAACGAUGGCCUUGGGCUCCCCAGCCUCGCUCUGUAAUCACUACGGGAUUCCUGAUCUUCCAAGACCACAUCUGCUGGUGUUCAUUAGAGACAUCUGUGCAUACAGAACUUGAGCCACCACACUUGGCUCUUUGAGAAAGUGUGAGCCACAGAACACAAUUCCUCCCUGGCUCUAGAAGUGCAUUUCCUGUAUUUGAAUGCAGAGGGGAGCACAGAGGAACUCAUCCUUGACCCUGUAAACAAAGCUCGCAUUGAAGCAUCUGAGCAAAGACAAGAGGUUGCUUUCAUACAAUACUUAUCAUAGAUGGCCAUGGACCAAAAUAGUGACUACUUUGAUUGCUUACCCACACAUGCCAAUAUUUGAAAGUCACCUUUGUUCAGCUAUAUAAAACAAACAUAUUUCCAAGUGAAAAACACUCAGAUAUGUUUUCACAGCUGUUUGCAUGCUUGUCCUUUAAAUACUGUGAACAGAUCCAAAUAAUAGUAUUCUGGUGUCAGAGGUUUUGUUUGUUUUUGUUGACAGGUCCUAUACAGUCUUCCCUGUAGCUGCUUAUGAAAUGUCAAACACUAUAACAUGACUCGACAUAAAAAAAUAACUGUUCAAAUCGGGUUUAUCCUCGGCGGCGUUGCGAUGGAGAAGAAGCCUGUUCUGUGGUAGAAGAGGUGGUAGAAAACAGGAGAACCCAGACAAAACUCUGCUUGUGAAAUUGCGCCCCUUAACCAUAGAAACUCUUUCCUGCAGUAUUGAGGGGUAAAAAAGAGGGCAUGGCCAUCCAUAUGUAAUGCUACAUGUACUGUACAGGUUAUGUCAUUACAGCUCAUUACAAUUUGUCUGUAGCUGCAAUUGCUGGCUUUAGUGUUUUGUCCGUUUAAAUAUGUAUGUAUAUGUCAAGAGUAGCAGAGAUACUUGUGUAGUGUAAAUACAUCCAUGUCUCGAUCUGUUUGGUGAGAUAAAAUGCAUCAAAGAAAGAUGAUUUGUUGCUCUGCUCUGAAGUCAGAAUAACAGCAAGUUAUUCUAUGCACAGUAUUUAAAAUAGACAAAAAGGUAACUAAUAUUAAGAUAUAUAAAAGAAUAUCUUAAAGUCAAAGACACCAGAAUUAAGAGAUUCAGGAUUAUGGUAUUAAAACUGCAUGUGGUACCACUGUGUUGCUGAUGUACCUAUUUUCGGGUACCUUAUUGUUACAACAAUGUCACAGACAUGGAAUGCUCUCUCUAGCCAAUCUAGCCAAUCUCGGGUACUGUAUCUGUGAGCUUAUGUAUUUGAAAGAGAGCAGUGAUUUCCUCUGAGUGUUUUAUGCUGCCCUGGGAGGAAACAGGAGUUCACCCGUGGGUAGGAUUUGGCAAGGGAGAAAAAUGAAAAAUAUAUUGGUAUGAAUUAAAAAAUUGUAUGUCUGCAGAAUAUGGUACAGAGCUGUUAUUAUUGAUUUUUUAAAGUGAAUCAGAAGUGUAUUUAUACAGUAUAUAUCAAACUAUAAUGACAGAUUGAUCUUAAUUGAUUAAGUGUACUUAUAUAUAUCAAACUAUAAUGACAGAUUGAUUGUAAUUGUGUCAGAAAGUAAUUUACAUGUAAUACAUUUAAUAAAUCAUAUUGACUAAUAAUAUCAUGAUCAAUUAAGCCUGUCAGCUGAGCUAUUUAUCAAUUUAUCAUGUAAUAAUGAUAUUUGCCUUUAAAUAAUUAUAUGAUAUUUUGUCAUUCAUGAAAAACUUUUAGUAGACUGAAAAAUGUUUGCAUACAGUAUAUUCAGAUCCUAUGAAAAUUUAUGUUUUCUCUGUGGCUUGUUUUCUGUCUAUUGGUCAAUUCAAAGCAAAGGCAUUUUUGACUGCCCUCGUUAAGCUAUGUAGCAUCAAUAAUGACAUUAUAAUAACAAUUACUGUUUAGAAAACUAAGUGAUUAUAAAAUCUUGAAUCAGACAUUUUAUGGAGAAAAAAUAAAUAUGGCAUGAUUAUAAGCAUCAGCAUCAGUUCAUCACUAGAACAUUAUUUAUUCAUUAUUUAUUCUCAAACAUAAAUAUGGCUUUAUCAAUAAAGACUCUUAUAAUGUGAAGUUACAUAUGUUGUGCAGUGGAUCCACCAGCUUUCUAAAAACAUUAAACCUCAUCUAGUCUUUGCAGCUGGAGAUACACUUCAUCCUUGCUAAGCAAAGCUCAUAGUUGUGUAGAGCAGAAGCCUGGUUAGCUUUCUGAGGUGCCAGCUGCUCCCCAAGUUGAGGUUCAUCAAUUCACCUACAUCCCCUUGAAGCUUCACAUCUUUCAUCUCCUUAUCAGAUACUAAGCUUUUUUGGUCCAGGCAUUUCUCUCUUGUCCACUUCUGUAGAAUCCGACUUUUGUAGCUGCUUUCCAUUACUCUCAGCAAGGCACACGUUUGACUUUGUCCAGGCUUCUGAAAGCACCACAUACUGUGCACCAGAUUCAUGGCCUUGGCAUUCCUGGCACAGUCUGCAAAGUAUGACCUUUACGUCUCUACAUUGAUGUAUAAGCUUGGCUGAAAGACACCUCAUAUUACAGCACUGACAAAAAUGUUGGGAUUGUCAGAGAAAAUAAGCUGAACUGUUCAGUUCUAAGUUUCACAGUGACGUUUUUGUCCAGAAAAAAAAAAACAGCAAAAAGUUGCUCAAAACAGCCAUCGGCAUGUGCUCUUCUCAAGUCUAUUCAUGAAUGUGCAAAUAACUAUAAUGACCCCUUUAAGAAAGUGUCAAAACAAUUUGUCACACUCGUAAUACUGGCUCUCAGGGGAGAAAUAAACAAAAUCACAUGUUUGGAUAUAGUAAGAACUUACCAUGCACUUAAAUGUGCUUAGUUUUAUAAAACAAGCGUGCCAGAAAACCGUCAAAAGUAAAUGUGUGCCUCACAUGUGUGUUAUACUAACAACUUCUGCUUUCAGUUCAUUAUUCCUGAAUGUGAUCCACCAAUACAGCAAAGACAAACUUUCUAUGUCAAAUUCCAUCAAAGGUACGCUCUUCCACACACCAAAGCUAAAUCAAACCCAAUGAGUGUAAUGACUGCCCCCCAAGCAUUUUCAGGGCAUGCACAAUAGAGUCAUUUGAUAGCAGUAAGGGGUGGUCAAAACUGACCUGCUGCUUACGAGGCCUGGACACACAUGCUGCAUGCCCAGAGGUCUGUCCACUCUCUGCAAUCAAAUAAUACACAAAAGGCAGCGGACAUGGUAACCAAGCAUCUCAGGGCAGGAGGAGCGGCCCUUGUCC